rnacentral:rRNA from 1 species
AAUUAACGCUGGCGGCGUGCCUAACACAUGCAAGUCGAACGCGAAAGCCCGCAAGGGUAAGUAGAGUGGCGCACGGGUGAGUAACACGUGGACAACCUGCCUUCGAGUGGGGAAUAACCUUCCGAAAGGAGGGCUAAUACCGCAUAAAACCCCGGAACACAAGUUCAGGGGUUGAAAAGAGCAAUUUGCUCGAAGAGGGGUCCGCGCCUGAUUAGCUAGUUGGUGAGGUAACGGCUCACCAAGGCUCGAUCAGUAGCCGUCCUGAGAGGGAGCACGGCCACACUGGAACUGAGACACGGUCCAGACUCCUACGGGAGGCAGCAGUGGGGAAUUUUUGGCAAUGGGCGAAAGCCUGACCAAGCAACGCCGCGUGGGUGAUGAAGUAUCUU